CAUUGGGAAGCCAGAAUUACUUGCAGGAGUAACCUAGUGCCUAUAGCUAUGGCAGGUACCUGCAUCCUUGUUUUUGUUUAGUGGAUCCUCUAUCCUUCAGAGACUCUGGAACCCCUGUGCUCUUCUCCUCAUCUAGUGACCCUGAGGUGAUGGAGUUUUCAAGUCCUUCCAGAGAGGUGCCUUCAGCCGCUACAAGAGCAGAAGCAGUGGGCAUUGGAUGGAGCUGAGUACAGGACCAUACAGGCUAAUUGCACCGGCACAGGAAUCGGAUAUAACAUCAUCUGGGUACCCAUGGCCAGCUGUGACUUCUCCAUCCGCACCUACACCUAUGCAGACACCCCUGAUGAUUUCCAGUUGCACAACUUCAGCCUCCCAGAGGAAGAUACCAAGCUCAAGAUACCCCUGAUUCACCGAGCCCUGCAGUUGGCCCAGCGUCCCGUUUCACUCCUUGCCAGCCCCUGGACAUCACCCACUCGGCUCAAGACCAGGGGAGCGGGGAAUGGGAAGGGGCCACUCAAGGGACAGCCCAGAGACAUCUACCACCAGACCUGGGCCAGAUACAUUGUGAAGUUCCUGGAUGCCUAUGCUGAGCACAAGUUACAGUUCUGGGCAGUGACAGCUGAAAAUGAGCCUUCUGCUGGGCUGUUGAGUGGAUACCCCUUCCAGUGCCUGGGCUUCACCCCUGAACAUCAGCGAGACUUCAUUGCCCGUGACCUAGGUCCUACCCUUGCCAACGGUACUCACCACAAUGUCCGCCUACUCAUGCUGGAUGACCAACGCUUGCUGCUGCCCCACUGGGCAAAGGUGGUACUGACAGACCCAGAAGCAGCUAAAGGCCUGUGUGGGUUCCAAGUUCUGGGAGCAGAGUGUGCGGCUAGGCUCCUGGGAUCGAGGGAUGCAGUACAGCCACAGCAUCAUCACAAACCUCCUGUACCAUGUGGUCGGCUGGACCGACUGGAACCCAUCAUUGUAGACAUCACCAAGCACACGUUUUACAAACAGCCCAUGUUCUACCACCUUGGCCACUUCAGCAAGUUCAUUCCUGAGGGCUCCCAGAGAGUGGGGCUGGUUGCCAGUCAGAAGAACGACCCGGACGCAGUGGCACUGAUGCAUCCCGAUGGCUCUGCUGUUGUGGUCGUGCUAAACCGCUCCUCUAAGGAUGUGCCUCUUACCAUCAAGGAUCCUGCUGUGGGCUUCCUGGAGACAAUCUCACCUGGCUACUCCAUUCACACCUACCUGUGGCGUCGCCAGUGAUGGAGCAGAUACUCAAGGAGGCACUGGGCUCAGCCUGGGCAUUAAAGGGACAGAGUCAGCUCACACGCUGUCUGUGACUAAAGAGGGCACAGCAGGGCCAGUGUGAGCUUACAGCGACGUAAGCCCAGGGGCAAUGGUUUGGGUGACUCACUUUCCCCUCUAGGUGGUGCCAGGGGCUGGAGGCCCCUAGAAAAAGAUCAGUAAGCCCCAGUGUCCCCCCAGCCCCCAUGCUUAUGUGAACAUGCGCUGUGUGCUGCUUGCUUUGGAAACUGGGCCUGGGUCCAGGCCUAGGGUGAGCUCACUGUCCGUACAAACACAAGAUCAGGGCUGAGGGUAAGGAAAAGAAGAGACUAGGAAAGCUGGGCCCAAAACUGGAGACUGUUUGUCUUUCCUGGAGAUGCAGAACUGGGCCCGUGGAGCAGCAGUGUCAGCAUCAGGGCGGAAGCCUUAAAGCAGCAGCGGGUGUGCCCAGGCACCCAGAUGAUUCCUAUGGCACCAGCCAGGAAAAAUGGCAGCUCUUAAAGGAGAAAAUGUUUGAGCCCA
ensembl:lncRNA GBA1LP glucosylceramidase beta 1 like, pseudogene